CCAAUGAGCUCCGUUCCCGCUGUGAUGCGGGCAGUGUCUGAUGCUCCUUCUCCUGUUUCCCCAGGUGUCCUGACUUGCCAACAUGCAGAGCCCUAACGCAGAGGGGCUGCAGGGGCGUCGCCGAGCUCCCGGCUGGAGGGGUCCUGGAGCACCGAGGGGUGACCCCGCUGCUGGAUGACACGCGUGAGCCCCCCUGGUUCGUCCACGCCUUCGUGGGUGCAGCUGGCCGUGAGGACUCCUCGGCCGGAUACUGAGACUCCUGUGCUCCAGAGGGGGAGGUGCUCGACUCCAGCGAGGUCACUCCGUGGGGGUGUCCCGUUGGGUCGUGGGGUGCGGCAGCAGGUAAGGAGCGGGUCCCCUCGUUGGCGGGUUGAUCGUGGAGGAAGACUGUCCCGUCUUCCUCUCCGGGCCCCAGUCCCGCUCUCUGGCGGCUCUCCCGUCUCCCGCUGGACCGCAGCCCCGGUGUCCCGGUGUGGACUGCACCCUGGGGACCCCGAGUCUGUCCGUCUGUGGGGGGGGUUCCCUCCCUCUACCACAGGAUCCGGGAGGAAGACUGCUGUGUGCUGAGGGAUUUGGGGGUGGGGGUGAUGUUGUAACAGACGCAAGGACCCCGAAAUAAAUUGACCACUUUUCUAGAGGA